rnacentral:rRNA from 1 species
UGAGUAACCUGCCCUUAACUCUGGGAUAAGCCUGGGAAACUGGGUCUAAUAUUGGAUAUGACUCCUCAUCGCAUGGUGGGGGGUGGAAAGCUUUUGUGGUUUUGGAUGGACUCGCGGCCUAUCAGCUUGUUGGUGAGGUAAUGGCCCACCAAGGCGACGACGGGUAGCCGGCCUGAGAGGGUGACCGGCCACACUGGGACUGAGACACGGCCCAGACUCCUACGGGAGGCAG